GCGGCUGCCUACACAUGCAUGUCGCACGGUAGCACUGAGAGCUUGCUCUCGGCGUGAGGAGUGGCGGACGGGUGAGUAAUGUCUGGGAGACUGCCUGAUGGAGGGGGAUAACUACUAGGGAACGGUAGCUAAUACCGCAUAAUGUCGCAUGACCAAGGAGGGGGACCUUCGGGCCUCUUGCCAUCAGAUGUGCCCAGAUGGGAUUAUCUAGUAUGUGGGGUAACGGCUCACCUACGCCACGAUCCCUAGCUGGUCUGACAGGAUGACCAGCCACACUGGAACUGAAACACGGUCCGCACUCCUACGGUAGGCACCAUUGGGGAAUAUUGCUGAAUGGGCGCAGGCCUGAUGCAGCCAUGCGGCGUGUAUGAAGAAAGCCUUCGGGUUGUAUAGUACUUUCAACGGGGAGGAAGGUGUUGUGAUUAAUAAGCGCAGCAAUUGACGUUACCCGCAAAAGAUUGCCUGGUAACUCCAGCCAGCAACCACGGUAAUACGGAGGGUGAAGCGUUAAUGGAAUUCGGGGCGUAAUCGCAACAGGCGUCUGUCCUGUCGGAUGUUAAUCCAGGGCUCACCUGUGAAGUGCAUUCCAUCUGGCAGCUGGAGUCUUGGAUACGGCGGUAGAGUCCCGUGUACGUUGAUUGAGUAUAAUCUUGAGGAAACCUGUGGGGAGGCCGAUUCUGGAGAAGACUGAGACUCAGUGCUAAAGGGUGCGGAGUCCACAUGAAUAUAUACCCUGGUAUGCACACCAUGACUAUGUCCAUGUUUGGUUCUGCCCUUUAGCCUUGAUUCUGAUCUAUGCGUUGAUCCACCGUCUGCGGAGACUGCCUCAGAUUAAACUCAAUGACUGAUCGGGGGAAUCUACCCUCUAUCAA
rnacentral:rRNA from 1 species